GCCACAGCAAGUGGUCCAGAAGAAGCCAACUAAGGAUCAGCCUGAAGAGACAUCCUCACAAGAAUCAGCAGAAGAUGAUUAGAAAACCACACCUUUCUAUUUCUACCUCAUCAGCAGUUGGAUCUUUUGAAGGGAGAAGGCGCUGCCAUGACCACUUGCUUCUGUUUCCACAAUCUUCUACUUUGGCCUGGGUGGGGAGGAGGGAAGGAAUCCACAUAACCUUAAAAAGGACUUAUUAAUAAUUGUUAUUGCAAUCCCUUCAUUGCCCCAGGUUUCCUGAAACUGCUGUAACACAGGGGGCACAGAUUAACAAAGCAACAUAUUCUUACUGUUUUCUCUUAUUUUUCUUUAAUCUACUAAUAGUUUGAGCUGCUAAGUAAGGGUGAAUGGGUCAGUAAAUCUCAGAAGCAGGUUUCAAGUUGUUUACUGCACUGCCUAUAUAUAACUAUUUUAAAAUAUUAAUUACCAUGGGCAUUUAUAUUGGAAGGACUGGUAUUUGACACUAGUUCUUACAACAUCUCUUGACAACCCACUCCCUAGCUUAGUGAAUUCUCUCUUUAGAACACCAAAGAUAAGGAUUUAGAUGCUAGGAUUGUGUAUGCUUCAGAAUGAUUCAGGAAGGUUUCACACCUCAUGCAAACCCAGCACCUCUCUGCUGUUUAUUAAAGCAGCCUGAAAGCAAAAUGCAAAUGUCUUUAAUGACUACCCAAUUAGUGUUGUGCUUGUCUCACACUAAUUUCAGUGACUCAGAUCUUUAAAGCACUGUAUAAUUUCUUAGGCUUGAGUAGAAAUCUGCAAAAAGAAAUAGGUAACUUUAGUGAACAGCAAAGAGUUUAUUUUUGGAAGGUCUGAAGUGCUUCUUUGAAAUAAUUUUUGAAGUAUGCCCAGCCCUAUUAGAUACUAUUUUGUUAGCCCUGGACUAGAUUUGUGCUUAUUUGUUUCUUGUGUCACUGUUCUUUUAAGACACAUCAAAGUUUAAUUUCUUUCAAUUAAUUCAACUGAUAAUCAGGAAGCAAAAGUCAAAAGAAAAAAGGUACUUUGCAACAAAAGGGAAAAAUGACAAAGAUACUCUGUAUAAUAGCAAUACACAUAUCUGCUGAAGUAAUACCAAAUGGAACUCAACAGCACCCUCUCUGGAAACAUUUUCAUACACCCUGAGGUGGAAUCUGCUUUCUAGAGAUCGUCAUGUUGUUUAGAAAUGACUUACAUCAGACUCUCUUUCAGGCCUGAAAUUUAGCAACUAAAAUCUGGAUUUUAGUGAAUUUUAAACAAUACCUCAGAAUGAUUUUAAAUCAUACCAUACUGGAACCAAGGGAAAUAAUUUAGAUAUUUAGUUUGAUUUAUUACUGUGCUGCCGGCCCAUUCUACUCCUUCAAGGAAUGGUCUUAUCAUCUUCACUAAUACAUCUUCAUUCAAGAGCCAAUACUAUGUACCUCAAGUGGGCUUAUUACUUUCAAGCAAUAUACAUUGACAUAGGAUAUUUAUCUGGGCAGAUUGGUCCAGUUAUAUGUCCCCAUUUUUUAUUUUUUUAUUUUUACUAAAAAGCAGCACUUUUAACAACAACUGCAAUAUUACCCCACUUUUCAGUACUACCUCUGUUAUUUACAUUGAACUCAACAAUCAUAUAAACACUUGCUGCUAUGAUCAUACAAUGCAAGAACUUGUUAUUGCAUAAGUAAUCAUAAAUUCUGCAUUCCCCCCAAUCCUUUUUUUACUUUGUCACUUCAUUGUAAUUAAGAACACAAUACUGUUAAUGUUUUUCAGCAUUACAAUAUUUUUUUCUUUUUAAAGUACGCUAUGCCUUUCUCUGCAAAAUUUCUAUAUAAUGUACCAUUAACUUGAAUAUAUUUUGUACCAAAUUGCUCAUAAGGUUUGUAAUGAUAAUUUUCUUCACUGACACUACAUGACAUAAAAAUAAUUAACUGCAGUGUUUAAAUAUUACUGUCCAGGUUUGUACCUCAAUUGAUUUUUUUAAAAAAAGAAAUGGACUCGUCGAUUGACAAGACCUACCUCCAGACUAUUAAUGGAUGAACUUGUUUCUGUCAACAUUUGUUUUUGGGAAGACUGAAACAUUUAGGACUGCAAAAACAUAAAACUAAAGGAAGCAAGAAAAAACCCCAAUUAGAAUUAUUUUUGUAAAAGAGCUUUGUGGGAAAUGAAUACAUAUUGAUUUGUUUCAUAUUAAAACCACCCCUCAAAGAAACUUGAAUCUUUGUCGGUUGGACGCAACAAGCUCAGCUUUUUGCAUAAUGCAAUCACAAAUAAGUGUGCGUAUGUUUGUGUGUGUGUAUUGUGUGUAAAAACUAGUAGAUUAUACGAGAAUACUCAUCAGGUAUUUUCAUUUUUUUCACAAAUGUGAUUUUUUUUAAAUAUGUGUCAAGCAGAUUUAUUUUAAAUGCUUCUUACUGUAUGUAGAGAUUAAUACUUUCUGACUUAUUUGAUUUCAUUCUUUUUAUUUCCUCUGUCUGUCUAUCUCACCCUCAGUGGAUAUAUCUGUUGGUAAACAUUGUUUUAUUAUUUGGGCCAGGGGUAGAUUCUCAGGAAAACAUUCUUUGGUAUGACUUUAGUGUUAGUCAAAUGCAACUAAGGAGAGCUACUUACUGGCUGCUUCACAAUAUUGACUGUUAAGAACAAACACCAGCUCCAGUAACAUGAGUGCCUUGCAUUAGGGAUCAAUGAAAAAGAGCAUCUAAGAAAAAUCUAUUUUAGGUGUCCUAAUGUUACCUAAUUUGUAAAUAAUUAUUCAACAACUGCAUAUGGGACUUAGUCAUGACCAUUCAAGCUGUGGCCUGAAAGACAAACUACAAUGAGAGUGCACAGAUUUUUCCUUCUGGGUCCAGCCAACAGAUCUCCCUCCCUCCCAAACAAAUCCUUUAGAAUAGUCAUGAGACAUAAGGGAUAUUAUUGGGAAAAAAUGCUUAGUGACUGAUAAGGAACACUUGGUCAAGAUUCCAAAAGUGCCUUGCUUCUUUAGACUAUGGAUUUUAAUAGCAUAGACCAGUGUUUCUCAUCCUUGGUGACUAUGAUGUGCGGAUUUCAACUCCCAGAAUUCCCCAACUGGCCUUGCUGGUUGGGGAAUUCUGGGUGUUGAAGUCUGAAUGUUGUAAAGUCACCACGGUUGAGAAACCCUGACAUAGACCAUACUCCCUAAUUCCAUGGCUCUAGUAUGUACAAAAGCUCCAUCCAGAAAAAGGGAUGUAAUUAGAUUAAAGGGAUUUAAUCUUAAGAAAUGGUGUGGAUCUAAUAGGAAAUCCCUAUUGUGCACAUAGGAAUAUACCAUGAAUUACUGAAGGAAAUCAAAUAAACUUUACCUACAUAGAACUCUGUUGAGCCUCAGUAUCCUUAUAAUGGAGUUUCUGAAUCAGUUUAACCAUGUGAGAUGAACUAAAUGUUAUUUACAGCUUUGAUGAAAUCUUACAUUUUCUGUAUAUUGUAGAACAAUCAAAACACAUUACUACCUCUCAGGGUCUUCUAUACCUCAUUUUUCAGACUGAAAAUAACUUUGUGGCCAUUGAAACAGAAGGAACAUCAUAAAAUUUUUAUAUAUAUAGUUUAUUUUUAUGGGAGAUAAAUUUUAUAGGACUGUUCUUUGCUGUCAUUGGUCACUCCUAAAUAAGACUGGACAUUAUUUUUCUGCCAUUUCUGCGCAAUUGAUAUACUUGCAAAAACCUACAGUUUUUUUCUAUUUUCCUCAACUGCUUUCUAGCUCGUUGCUUUGUUAUUCAUAUAGAGUUGCUGUCUAUGAUUUUGAAUUGCUUGCAUGUUACUUUGCUUGAUUAUCACAGUUUGUUCAGCACAAUAAACUCAUAGUUUAUGUAA